GCCAUCAAAGGAAAGGUAGAGAGAGAAAAGAAAGCAAUUUCUUCAAGGCUGUUUCAAUAUGGUCUGUUUGAUGAACUACACAUUGAGAUUCAUAAAGAGCAGCUAAGCCUAGAAAGAUAAUGGAGGCAUAACUAUCCAUAUAUUCAAAGGGAUUCAAAUUCACGCUACAAGUUCAUCAUGUGAAAAGCCUUAAAAAAGUCCUUCAGUCGUAGAUUCCAUGGUCUCCCAGUCAUGAAAACAUAAUGAAUUUGACAAUCAAAGUUAAUCCAGCAAAGACAGUGAGCAGGAUUGUACCAGGAAAGAGUAGAAUCACAGAACUCCCAUCAGGAUAAUAAACCCAGAACAUUUAGUGUACCAAUGUGGAAUCUGAGGUAUAGACAAGUGAAGAAUUUCUUCUAUAUUCAUUUGGAGUCCCCAACUCAGGAGUAUGAAGGAUGUUCAGAAAGCCAACAAGGAAAAUCAACCACUCAAAAAUAGUGCAGGUAUACAAACGGAAAGGAACAAAAGUCACUAUGAUUGAGGUAACCAAGACACAGAACAUAAAUAUG
rnacentral:lncRNA from 1 species